rnacentral:rRNA from 1 species
AGAGUUUGAUUAUGGCUCAGGAUGAACGCUAGCGGCAGGCUAACACAUGCAAGUCGAGGGGCAGCGGGAUGUAGCAAUACAUUGCCGGCGACCGGCGGAUGGGUGCGUAACGCGUAUGCAACCUACCUUAUACAGGGGAAUAACCUUUCGAAAGGGAGACUAACACCCCAUGGUAUUGAUUUAAGGCAUCUUAGAUUAAUUAAAUAUUUAUAGGUAUAAGAUGGGCAUGCGUAUGAUUAGCUAGUUGGUAAGGUAACGGCUUACCAAGGCGACGAUCAUUAGGGGUUCUGAGAGGAAGGUCCCCCACACUGGUACUGAGACACGGACCAGACUCCUACGGGAGGCAGCAGUGAGGAAUAUUGGUCAAUGGGCGCAAGCCUGAACCAGCCAUGCCGCGUGCAAGGAAGACGGCCUUAUGGGUUGUAAACUGCUUUUACAUAAGACUAACCGUAUAUUUGCGAAUAUACCUGAAUGUAUUAUGAGAAUAAGGAUCGGCUAACUCCGUGCCAGCCGCUGC